GUAAGGCUAAAUACUCCCGAGAGACCGAUAGCGAACCAGUACCGUGAGGGAAAGGUGAAAAGCACUUCGAACAGAAGAGUGAAAUAGUUCCUGAAACCGUGCGCCUACAAGCGGUCGGAGCUCGUUAAUGAGUGACGGCGUGCCUUUUGCAUAAUGAACCUACGAGUUGCCUUUGCCGGCAAGGUUAAGUGUGACGACACACGUAUCCGAAGCGAAAGCGAGUCUGAAUAGGGCGUAUAGUCGGCAGUGGCAGACGCGAAACCAAGUGAUCUACCCUUGGCCAGGUUGAAGGCUGGGUAACACCAGCUGGAGGACCGCACCAAUAAGCGUUGAAAAGCUUCUGGAUGAGCUGAGGGUAGGGGUGAAAGGCUAAUCAAACUUGGAGAUAGCUCGUACUCCCCGAAAUGCAUUUAGGUGCAGCCUUGCGGGUUACUGAUGUGAGGUAGAGCGACUGAUAAGAUGCGAGGGCUUCACCGCCUAUCAAGUCUUGACAAACUCCGAAUGCGCAUCAGUUCUACCGUAGGAGUGAGGGCAUGGGUGCUAAGGUCCGUGCCCGAGAGGAGAAGAAUCCGGACCACCUGCUAAGGUCCCGAAAUGACAGCUAAGUUAAACUAACGAAGUCUGACUGCUAAGACAGCUAGGAUGUUGGCUUGGAAGCAGCCAUUCAUUUAAAGAGUGCGUAACAGCUCACUAGUCGAGGAGUCGGGCGUGGAUAAUAAUCGGGUAUUAAGUUGUCUACCGAAGCAGUGGGAUCAUUUAUAUGAUCGGUAGGGGAGCAUUCCAGUCAGCGUCGAAGGCGUACCGUGAGGUAUUCUGGAGCGUCUGGAAAAGCAAAUGUAGGUAUAAGUAACGAUAAAGGGGGCGGGAAACCCCCUCGCCGAAAGACUAAGGUUUCCUGAUCAACGCUAAUCGGAUCAGGGUCAGUCGGGUCCUAAGGCUCAGCCGAACGGCGAUGCCGAUGGCAGAAACGGUUAAUAUUCCGUUACUACCUUCAGGAGUGACGUGGAGACGCAGUAGUGACAGUGCCGCCAUCUGACGGAAUAGAUGGUUGAAGGGUGUAGGAGUCGAUCAUGGCAGGCAAAUCCACCAUGAGAUCCGAACCUGACAGUAUGCCGCGUCCUUCGGGACAAGGCAAUAGUGCGCGUAAGCAUGCUGCCGAGAAAAUCCGCUAAACUUAAUCCUGCAGGUACCCGUACCGCAAACGGACACACGUAGUCGGGAUGAAUAUUCUAAGGCGCUUGAGUGAUUCACGGUUAAGGAACUAGGCAAACUGACCCUGUAACUUCGGGAUAAAGGGUCCCUACCCUUUUAUGGGAGGGCGCAGAGAAUCGGUCCAGGCAACUGUUUAACAAAAACACAGGGCUGUGCCAAAUCGAAAGAUCCAGUAUACAGCCUGACACCUGCCCGGUGCUGGAAGGUUAAGAGGAGAUGUCAUCGAUAAGAGAAGCGUUGAAUUGAAGCCCCAGUAAACGGCGGCCGUAACUAUAACGGUCCUAAGGUAGCGAAAUUCCUUGUCGGGUAAGUUCCGACCUGCACGAAUGGUGUAAUGAUCUGGACGCUGUCUCAACCGUGAGCUCAGUGAAAUUGUAGUAUCGGUGAAGAUGCCGAUUACCCGCGAUGGGACGAAAAGACCCCGUGAACCUUUACUAUAGCUUAUCAUUGAAUCUGGGCACGUGAUGUGUAGGAUAGGUCGGAGGCUUUGAAGCAGGUACGCCAGUAUUUGUGGAGCCGCUGUUGAAAUACGACCCUUUAUUUGUUUGGAUUCUAACCCGUGGAACGGGGACAUUGAUUGGUGGGUAGUUUGACUGGGGUGGUCGCCUCCAAAAGCGUAACGGAGGCUUCUAAAGGUGCCCUCCGGCCGAUUGGUAACCGGCCUUAGAGUGUAAUGGCAUAAGGGCGCUUGACUGGGAGACUAACAAGUCGAUCAGGUAGGAAACUAGAGCAUAGUGAUCCGGUGUUUCCGUAUGGAAGGGACAUCGCUCAAAGGAUAAAAGGUACUCCGGGGAUAACAGGCUGAUCCCUCCCAAGAGCUCAUAUCGACGGAGUGGUUUGGCACCUCGAUGUCGGCUCGUCACAUCCUGGGGCUGGAGAAGGUCCCAAG
rnacentral:rRNA from 1 species